UACAGGGGGUGCAAGCGUUGUUCGGAAUUACUGGGCGUAAAGGGUUUGUAGGUGGCCAUUUAAGUCAGACGUGAAAUCCCUCAGCUUAACUGGGGAACUGCGUCUGAUACUGGAUGGCUUGAGUUUGGGAGAGGGAUGCGGAAUUCCAGGUGUAGCGGUGAAAUGCGUAGAUAUCGGGAGGAACACCAGUGGCGAAGGCGGUUGCCUGGGGCUUUGCUGACGCUGAGGGGCGAAAGCGUGGGGAGCGAGCGGG
rnacentral:rRNA from 1 species